rnacentral:rRNA from 1 species
AUUGAACGCUGGCGGCAGGCCUAACACAUGCAAGUCGAACGAGUGGCGGACGGGUGAGUAAUGUCUGGGAAACUGCCUGAUGGAGGGGGAUAACUACUGGAAACGGUAGCUAAUACCGCAUACCAUCGGAUGUGCCCAGAUGGGAUUAGCUAGUCGGUGGGGUAACGGCGCACCAAGGCGACGCUCCCUAGCUGGUCUGAGAGGAUGACCAGCCACACGGGAACGGAGAAACGGUGCAGACUCCUACGGGAGGCAGAAGUGGGGAAUAUUGCACAAUGGGCGCAAGCCUGAUUCAGCCAUGCCGCGUGUAUGAAGAAGGCCUUAGGGUUGUAAAGUACUUUCAGCGGGGAGGCGUUACCCGCAGAAGAAGCACCGGCUAACUCCGUGCCAGCAGCCGCGGUAAUAC